UUUUUGUAUUUUUAAUAGAGACGGGGUUUCACCAUGUUGGCCAGGCUGGUCUCAAACUCCUGACCUCAGGGGAAGCCCCUGCACCCUCCAUAUAAAAUAGCAGCCCCUGGCCAUUUUUCUCUAUCCCCUUCCUAUUUUAUUUUUCUUAUCAGCCCUGUUGUCUCCUGACACAUUAUAUACUUGUUUCUCUUCUGCCUUAUCCUCAGUGUCCGGAAUGGUACCCAGGAUGGUGGUACACUGGAGCACACACACCUAAGUAAGGGGACAGCUGUUCCUCAGCUCUGGUCACUGUUAGUGUAUAAGAAUGUGGAACCCUUGCCUGGGCAUGGUGGCUCACGCCUGUAAUCCCAGCACUUUGGGAGGGUGAGGCGGGCAAAUCACCUGAGGUCAGGAGUUCGAGACCAGUCUGGCCAACAUGGUGAAACCCCAUCUCUACUAAAAAUACAAAAAUUAGUGGGGCGUACUGGUUGGCGCCUGUAAUCUCAACUACUCGGGAGGCAGAGGCUGGAGAAUCGCUUGAACCCUGGAGGCAGAGGUUGCAGUGAGCCGAGAUCGCACCACUGCACUCUGGCCUGGGUGACAAGAGUGAGACAACGUCUCAAAAUAAAUAAAUAAAUAAAAAUGUCAGCUAGUAAUUCACAUCUUUUAAAAGCAAUGUACAAGUCAACGGGGUGGAGGGCAACAGAACAUGUCUGCAGCAAGCCAGUCUGUGAACUCAGAGAAGCUAUGAAAUUGAACUUCACGGAAGAUGUGAUUAAAGGCGAGAGGCUGGUGUGUUUCAACAGUGAAGGUCAGAUGAAAAGUACAUAUGCGGACAUGCAUUUCCUCUUGCUCCAUUUCAGGUUGCGCUUGCAAACAGUGUGAGGUGGCUGAGUAUAUUUAGCCACGUGCCUUUUUUUUUUUUCCCUGUUCAGAUUGCAUCUCUUAAGACUUCUGCCUUUGCUGAAAACUGGCAUUGCCAUUUUACUCUUACACUUUGCAGGAAAAUAACUCCAAGAGGAAAUUGACUGUGAAGCCUUAUGGAGUGCCCCCUCAAGAUGGGG
rnacentral:lncRNA from 1 species